ACAUAGAGCCAUAUCUCAGUGGUAGAGAAUCUGCAUUGCAUGCUGAAGGUUGUAGGUUCGAUAUCCCUCAUCUCUAGGUA